CACACCAUCCUGAACGCGCCCGCCCGAUCUCGUCUGAUCUCGGAAGCUAAAUAUGCAUAACUCUUAGGUUCUUUUUGAUGAAUAAUAAUAGCUAUCAGCGAGGUUGAAGGUGGUGUGC
rnacentral:rRNA from 1 species